AGUGGCGCACGGGUGAGUAACGCGUAGGUAAUCUACCCCUGUGUUCGGGACAACAUCGGGAAACUGGUGCUAAUACCGGAUACGUUUCACGGAUUGCGAAAUAAGUGAAGGAAAGGUGGCGCCCCUUCGGGGGGCUAUUGCACGGGGAUGAGCCUGCGUACCAUUAGCUAGUUGGCAGGGUAAGGGCCUACCAAGGCGACGAUGGUUAGCGGGUCUGAGAGGAUGAUCCGCCACACUGGAACUGGAACACGGUCCAGACUCCUACGGGAGGCAGCAGUGAGGAAUUUUGCACAAUGGGGGAAACCCUGAUGCAGCGACGCCGCGUGAGUGACGAAGGCCUUCGGGUCGUAAAGCUCUGUCAGCAGGGAAGAAAUGUGCGAUGGCUAAUAUCCAUUGUACUUGACGGUACCUGCAAAGGAAGCACCGGCUAACUCCGUGCCAGCAGCCGCGGUAAUACGGAGGGUGCGAGCGUUGUUCGGAUUUACUGGGCGUAAAGGGCGCGUAGGCGGCCUGUCAAGUCAUAUGUGAAAGCCCACGGCUCAACCGUGGAAGUGCAUGUGAAACUGGCAGGCUUGAGUACUGGAGGGGAGUGUGGAAUUCCCGGUGUAGAGGUGAAAUUCGUAGAUAU
rnacentral:rRNA from 1 species